AUGAAGCUUUGUUAAAGCGUGCACCUGGCGUGCUCUGGUAUGUGCAGGCAGAUGCGUAGUUAUGAGAACUCAGGCACCCUGCUUAUCACCACCGAGGUCAGGAAAGGUGGUUACAUCAUGAGAAGAUGCAUAGUUAGGACAAAUUCAAGCACCCUGCUCAUUACCACCAAGGCCACAGAAAAGUGAUUACAACAUUGGAAAAAAACAUCUUUCUCAGUAUAUUAGGCCACUUGAGCUCAACACACAGGAACACAGAGAAUAGGAAUGUUCAUCCACUAAAUUUCCCUCACAUUCUCCCCCCUUUUUAUCUUAUAGGAUAAAUUGCUAAAAGGAAAGAACUGUACACGGUUUCAGUGAUAAGAGUUCUCAGAGAGAUUCGACUUAACACGUCAUUGAGUGUACAGGGAUAAUGCUAAGGCUGUUUUUAUAAGACAUAAACAUCUUAAAUGAAUGCUAGCAAGCCAUAUACAUAGAUCAGGAAUAAGAGAACAGGAAACAAUCAUAAUGAAAGUGUUUUAAGUCAGGACUAGUUUCAUGUCAACUGUGCUGAUGUCAUCGAACGGUGGGUUAUAGUCUUCAUGUGAGUUUGGAGGCCAGUCAGGCAAGUCAUCGGACUCUAUUUUCACCAUCUGGUAACCGAUAUUUGUCAGCUGCCUCUGAAACACAGACAUACAACAUUAACAGAGAACAGGGAGCAAACAUAACAUCACAAUCACUAAGCCCAGGACUGGUAUGGUGGAUAGAAUUAGAGUCUUCCAUCCACUAAACCAAUGCCACCAGCUGUCUUUGUCUCCUCCAUGUUCGUCUGCUUGUAAUUGUUCAGCAACCUUGCGCAUCUUGUUCAGUGCCUCAGUGAUGUUACCAUGAUUCCUGUUGUUUUCAGGAAUGUACGUACAACAGUGUUCUGCUAUCAUGACACACACACUACCUUCCUUUGCCAAAAGGAUGUCGAGAGCCAUGCGAUUCUGUGUUGUCAUUAAUCUGAGCGCGGUCAAUUCAGUUCUCAUGCCCUCCAUGGCCUCUGUGGUUGAAUUCACAAACUGCGCCAGUCUAUAAUGCACCACCUCAAGUUCAUUCCAGAGUUGUGUUAUCCCGUACUGUGGAAACAGUGCCUGGAAGAAUUUCUUCACCUUGGGUUGCAGCUGAUGUUCUGGAGGAGGAAAAUCAUUGUCGACACUUCUGCACCGUCUGCCACUCGUCUCAGGGGUUGCUAUUAUUAGGUGGGCAUCUAAUUGGAUCAGGGCACACGUGCCUUUCCAAUCUACCGGAAGAAAGUUAUACACAUAGUGACCACACUUCCAUUGCCAGCCUGGGUAAUAGAAGGUUGGACCCGCUAACUGAGUUAGAUUCCCUCCUGGUCCUAAGUCACCUCCUAUUGUCGCUUUUCUGCCUUGCUUGUACAGAGUGCCACUUCGUCCCGUGCAGGUCACAUUUGGAUUUGGGACUGAACCCUGCACAGUGCAAACGGUUGAACACCUAGUUUCCUUGACCUUCCCUAUGAGGUUUGAGUUCGGAUCGCCCUUUCGCCCUGCGCAUAAGGUAUAAUUUAGCCCCUUUCCUGGUUCAUUUACACUAAUUUCUACCCUCAGGUCGUCUCCCCCACCUUGAUACGUGACACUACAGCCUUUUUCUACAUCAUUACAGACAGCUUCCAUCACAGCUCGCCAUGCUUGCGCAGUAUCUUCAUCCGUUGUGUUGGCGAUCUCGAACACGAAUGGUUGUGUAAUGGUGUGUGGCAGGGUUGAGCAAACUAGACAAUUUGACCUGUUAGCUUGUUUAGCUGUAAAAUUAGCAUACUGCCAAUACAAAUUAUGAGUUGGAUGUCUCCCUCGUCUCGAUUCUGUGUCAGUCUGGAUUCCCUGUAUCGACCACCACACGAAUCCUCCCAUGAGCCCCAGUAGGAUCAAGAUGCUCAGGCCCACGACUGGACCUAGUUUAUAAUGAUUUACCCCCUUCAUUUUAUGUUAACUAGGUCUCCGAGUUAACCCUUGCCCUUCUUGAUGUGUAUUGGUGCUCAGAGGGCGGGCAUGCCCUAUCAGCCCUCAUCCCACCUCACCGGAGCUUGGAGAAACUCGGGACUUCUGAAACCACUUUUACUGACUAGAUACUAAAAUACUCUUCUCUAUUGAGGGUGCAACAGCGUAACUGUGCUGUCACGCUCAGUCCUGCGGAACUUGCUCGCCACGUAGUUUAGAUCAAGGCAGGAAAGCGGUCAUGUAGGGCACCUUCUAAAUGAUAAUCGCUUACCUCUCCUCCUGAGUCUCGGGUUACCACUUGUCCCACCUUAUGGUUGGGGUUCUGUUCUCAGAUGUACUCAAUUAACACUUCUUUCUCCUCGAGCUUUAGUCAGCAUCUGGGUCACUUAGGCCUUCUUUUCCCUCCUGCUCAGCCGGUUCAGGAACCCUCCUGCAGUGGCUAGCAUGGAUCCACGUCACUCUGCCUGUGACCUUCACUGCUGUUGGGGUCGUGAGCAGGACCUGGAAUGGGCCAUUCCACCGUGGCUUGUUCCACUUGGUUCGUCGGAAGUCCUUCACCACGAUCCAAUCCCCUGGUUGUAGAUCGUGCAGAGGUCCCUCAGCGGGUUUGGGAAGUGCUUCUUUUACCUGUUUGUGGAUAGAUUUCAAAGCAGAGGACAACAUUGCACAGUAAUUCAACAUUGCAUCAUCACACAGUGUGGUGUCCGGCAGUGUUCCUUGAGCUGGCCCUAUCCCUGUGUUGGGUACUCGUCCAAACAGAAUUUCGAAUGAGCUUAACCCAUGUUUAGGCCUAGUUUGCAUCCUCAUUUGUGUGAGUCCAACAGGGAGGACCUUUGUCCAUCCUAGCCCUGUUUCUGCACAAGCUUUGCUUAGUUUAUUUUUAAGUGACCCAUUUUCCCUCUCUACUGCUCCCGCACUUGCAGGAUGAUAGGCACAAUGUUGUUUCAGGUCUAUCUCUAGGAAUGCUCCUAUUUUCUUUAGGGCUGCAUUAACAAAGGGUGUUCCAUUGUCACUUGAGAUUUUGCUAGGUAUACCCCACCUAGGAAUUACAUCUCUCAGGGGUGCUUUGACUACCACCUCUGAGUCUUGUUUAGCUGUGGGGAAUACUUCAACCCAUUUUGAAAACAUCAACUAUUACCAGGCAAUACCUUUUCCCUUCACUAGGUGUCAGUUCAAUAAAGUCCAUUUGGAGGUGAUCAAAUGGUUUGUCUGGUAUUGGGUGUGCUGCUUGAGUUAGUCUGAUACCUUGACCUGCAUUAUGUUGUGCACAUAUCAAGUAUUGCUUGCAAAAUUUUGCAGCAUAAUUUGAAAACCCCUUUGUGAACCAUCUCUUUGUUACUUCUGCUACCAUCCCCCCUUUUGACACAUGGGUGAGCCCAUGUGCCAAUUUUGCAUAGAAAGGGAACAUGUAUUUUGGUAGACAGGGACCGCCCGAGGGACAAACCCAGACCAAGUUUGCAAAGAUACAGCCUGCCUGUUUCCAGACUCGUCUCUCGUCCUGAGUGGCAGUGCUCUGAAGGUCCACUAGCUGUAAACAAGGGGUAGAAACCUGAGGAAAGGCAAGGUUAGAGGGUGAACUGGAAGCCGAGGCUGCACACUUAGCUGCUGCAUCCGCCCUGGCAUUCCCUUGAGACACAAGAUCAGUAUUGUUAGUAUGGGCAGCACACUUACACACAGCAAUGGCUCUAGGGAGUAGAAUAGCAUUCAACAACUCAGAGACCAGUUUAUGAUGUGCAAUGGGAGAUCCUGUGCUAGUGAGAAAAUUUCUGUGUUUCCAAAUGGUGCCAAAAUCGUGCACAACACCAAAUGCAUACCUACUGUCCAUAAAAAUAUUGACAGAUUGCCCUGCCGCCAAUUUGCAUGCCUCAGUAAGGGCACAGAGCUCUGCAGCCUGUGCCUACAGGUUCAAGGGCAGAUGUGACACCUUGAGGACCUCGUGAUCUGAGACUACGGCAAAACCUACUUUGUUCUUUCCCAUCUCUGGGUCUCUGGAGGCUGAACCAUCCACAUAGAGGAUCAUGUCUGGAUUUUCCAAAGGGUCGCUCUUUAAAUCUGCCCUGAUGGAACAAAAAUCGUUAGUGAGAGCAACACAGUCAUGUGGCUCUCCAUCGUCCUCUGUAGGGAGAAGAGAGGCAGGAUUCAGAACAGUACAACGUUUCACAGUGAUGUUAGGCAUAUCAAGUAUGACCGUGUUAUACUUCAACCAUCUCUGUGCUGACAAAUGUGACAUCUUUUUCUCCAACAGAAGCAGGGAGACAGCAUGUGGGACCAAAAGGGUGAGGUUAGAAUACCUCACAAUAUUUCUGGAGGCAGUUACCACCUUUUCAGCUGCAGCAACUGCACGCAGGCAAACAGGAAGUCCAGCCGCCACUGGAUCCAGCCUGCUGGAGAAGUCGUCCUGAGAUGCCCACUGUCUGAAUAGAAUUUGAGCUGAGCGGUGGGUCUACUGGAAGUACCCCAUGUUGUAUCACUGAGUGUCCUGCUCCAGAAUCUACUAAAAAGGUUAACACAUGCCCACACACAGUGAGGGGCAUACAAGGGCGUUUAGAAAAGGGAGUAGUUGUUUAUUUUAACAAACUUAAUGCAACUUCAGGUGUAUCUAUCUGGACUGGUGUAUCGGGCGUUUCUGUGUAGUCUUGCUGUUGCAUGCAGGUGCUGCUACUAAUGUGUUUAAUGUUAUGUGAAUGCUCCUGUCUAUGUGUAUGUGUAUCAUCAGGUGUGUGUGUGUUACCUCCCCUGUUCUCUGUGUGGGGCCCAUUCCUGGAGUCCGCCUGUCAGUCUGCUUUGCUGUACUCCUCACAGGGCUUCUGCCUGUGACUGUGGAGACAAUCUCGAGCCAUGUGUUCCUUCCGAUUGCAGUUGUAGCAGGUUACGCCUUUUAUCCAGGACGGGUCACCCCAGGUCAUCCUGCUUCGGCCCCUACCUCGACCUCUUCCUUCUUGUCCAGGCUGAACAGUCUGGAAAAGAGUGAGAGUGUCAGCGUAAUUUGGAGGAGGACAGUACCCCGAUAGCAGAGGGUCGUUGAAACGACGUAGAGUUUUGGUCAGAAUGGUCGGUUUCCGUCGUACGUCAGAAAAUCAACGUUGAAACGGCGCCGUGAAACGUCGAUUUCUCCGCCGUCUGAGAGGGUUGAUUUAUCACCGUUGAAUCAACGUGGGUGAAGGUUGAUCUGUCGACCGUCAGAGAAGGUUGAAUAUACGACGUUGAACCAUCGUCACUUUUGCCGGCCAGUUUUCAACAUUGGUAGGAUGAGCAACUGGCCCGUAGCCAGGGGGGAUCGGAGGGUUCGUUCGAUCCCCCCCCGCGACACCGCGCCCCGGACACACACGCCUCAAGAUUACUCAAGAUUUAUUCAUUUGUUCAUGUCCGAUGAAUAUACAUUGAUUCACAUUUAAAUUUACAAUAUCAAAUCCAGACUAAUCAAAAAAGAAAAGUAGACUAAGUGAGGACGAGUUAGAAAAACGGGUUCAUUUCUCCUAUGUUUAUGUUUACACGUUUUGUUCAGACUGCUUUACACCCCAAUCCAGUGGGUGGCGGUAAUGCCCCCAUUAGACGCCUUUCACUGACGUCACCCGAAACCGGAAGUAAACAAACCCUGCGCCACAUUGGAAGACCAACAAACUCGUGAUUAGGGGGAAACAACGGCAGCGCGCGGUAUGUGAACCCACGAGGCACUUGGUUCAUCAUAAACCUACAAUGGUAAACUUUUGUGCUGUGUUAGGGUUCUAACAAAGCUGAUGGGAAAGGUGAAAAGAAGUCUUUCUACAGAAUACCAGCUGUGAUUGAGACACAAGCAAACCAAGGAGCUUUCUGCCAGGAGACAGAGAGAGGAUUUAGCUGCUUUAUGCAGAGCGGAUCUGAAUACUUCAAGUCUAUUUUGUUACUGGUCUGCGCCGCAGGAGGAAUAGGCCACAAUCAUAAAUAAAUCAUAAAAUGUUUCUAAGAA